CUACUGGAUCUCCCCGCCAUGGCUAUUUUGUUCAAGCUCGUCCCUGGCACCGCUUGGUUCUAGAUGUCCCGUGCCACAGUUUUGACAAGAUCUGCAUCACCAGCCCAGUGAUCCUUGAACGGGCCUUGGCACUGGUUCAUGCCCCGACGCUACAGCAGGCCAUAUCAGGCCCAGGACAAUGCAGCAUUUGCUUCUUCCCGGAUAGGAUCACGAAGUGGUGUGGUGAGAUACGCC